AGGAGUUUGGAUCAUGGCUCAGAAUCAACGCUGGCGGCGUGCCUAACACAUGCAAGUCGAACGCGAAAGCGGCUUCGGCCGCAAGUAGAGUGGCAAACGGGUGAGUAACGCGUGGGUGACCUACCUUCGAGUGGGGGAUAACGUUCCGAAAGGGACGCUAAUACCGCAUGACAUCCCGUCUUUAGACAGAUGGAGAUCAAAGCUGGGGAUCGCAAGACCUGGCGCUUGAAGAGGGGCCCGCGUCCGAUUAGCUAGUUGGUAGGGUAAUGGCCUACCAAGGCGACGAUCGGUAGCCGGCCUGAGAGGGCGGACGGCCACACUGGGACUGAGACACGGCCCAGACUCCUACGGGAGGCAGCAGUGGGGAAUUGUUCGCAAUGGGCGCAAGCCUGACGACGCAACGCCGCGUGGAGGACGAAGAUCUUCGGGUCGUAAACUCCUGUCGGGCGGGACGAACCUCACGCGGGUGAAUAGCCCGCGUGACUGACGGUACCGCUAGAGGAAGCCCCGGCUAACUCCGUGCCAGCAGCCGCGGUAAUACGGGGGGGGCAAGCGUUGUUCGGAAUUACUGGGCGUAAAGAGCUCGUAGGCGGCCAACUGAGUCGGACGUGAAAUCCCUCGGCUCAACCGAGGAACUGCGUCCGAUACUGGUCGGCUUGAAGCCCGGGAGAGGGAUGCGGAAUUCCAGGUGUAGCGGUGAAAUGCGUAGAUAUCUGGAGGAACACCGGUGGCGAAGGCGGCAUCCUGGACCGGCCUUGACGCUGAGGAGC
rnacentral:rRNA from 1 species